AGACAACAAAUUCUGUCAGUUGUGUUGUGCUCAGUCCACGAGUGUGAGUCCAGUGAAGUAAGUUGAGUGAAGUUGUGAAUUGUGAAAGUCGUUUUGCGAUGUUCUUUCAAUCAGUAUUUAAUUAGUGAAGUAUACAAUCAAAUGAAGUGAUAAUUUAGUGGCUAUCGAAGUAAAUGUGAAACAGUAUAAUUCUUUGCUUUAAAGGACUGGUAUGCACCUGAAGUAAAGAUUAUGAGAAGACCUCAGUUAUUCAUGAAGACCAGCUCUACUACAAUAAUGAAGAUAUGGAUUGGUGAAUUUGAUUAUAAAAUUUCAGCUUCAUUCUCAUGGACGAACAUUGGAAUACCUUCUAUAGAGUGAAGCCUUCAACAGUUCUUAUAGUGAAGCCUGUGUUGUUACGUCCGGAAUUUUAUUAGUGAAGUUUAGUACCGAAGUUAAUUAGUGCAAUAUUACAACAGUGAUAAUUCAGUGGUUAGUGAAAUAAAUGUAUAUCUGUUUGAACUUCAAGACGAAGGUUUGGCUACCCUACUUCAUGACUCAAAGACAAUUAAUCAGGUCUGUC